UACGUAGGGUGCAAGCGUUAAUCGGAAUUACUGGGCGUAAAGCGUGCGCAGGCGGUUGUGUAAGACAGAUGUGAAAUCCCCGGGCUCAACCUGGGAACUGCAUUUGUGACUGCACGGCUGGAGUGCGGCAGAGGGGGAUGGAAUUCCGCGUGUAGCAGUGAAAUGCAUAGAUAUCGGGAGGAACACCAGUGGCGAAGGCGACUACCUGGCCUGUUCUUGACGCUGAGGCGCGAAAGCUAGGGGAGCAAACGGG
rnacentral:rRNA from 1 species